AAAAUAUGAGUUUUAUUUGCAAAAUCCACCCUUGUAUAAUCUCGAAUUGCUGAAAAAAACCCUUGUAUUAAAAAAAGGGUUAAUAGCAUUUUCCCACCUAAACUUUGUCCGUUUUUGCACUUUCCCACUUCAACUAAAAAAAGUUGCACGGCGGCACCCAAACAUUCAUUUUUGACGCACAUAACCACCUGGAGGGAAUAUUCUGGCGAAUCUUUCCACUCUCCGGCGCACGCACGCUGCACAUGCCAAAUUACAUGGGCUUUUUAGUCUUUUCCUUUAGCAUCCUCCUAAAUGCCCUAAUUCCGCCCUAAUUUUCCCUGAUUAAACAAUAAUUAACCAUUGAGGUUUCAAAACUGGUCAACUAUGAACCACCGUAACAGAGCGACGUCGUAUUGACAAAACCUUCCACAGCACACUUGUUCGAACGACGCCGUAGAAACCAACUUUUUAUUUCAUCCCCACCGCAUAAAAAGGAAACCCUUUCUAAAACUUUUUUCAAUUCCGACGCUCUCUUUCUCUCUCCUCAAUCGCCGGCGGUAUUUCGCCGCGAAUUCACUCCCGAACGACCACCCCCCUCCGAUUACAAUCGCCGCAACCUAAUUUCAUUCUUUUCACCCUAUUUUGUUUUUGUAGCUAUGUGCACUUGCUUGUAUUGAGAGAGUAAUCGGAUUUUUUUUUUUUUGAAAAGUUAUGGAGCAGGAUUAUUACAUGAGUGGUAGCAGCGAUGAUGAGGGCGAUUGCUAUUCGUCCGAUCAAGAAGCUGAACCGCUCGAAAACGAAGAGCCCGAUUCUCCGUGGGCCCCAUCAAAAUCCCCUUCCUCGAAGGUGUGUGUACCAUUCUACCACAGCCUUUUUGUAAUUUUGAAGAAUGCAUGUUGAGCUUUUUUAGUUUUGCCUAAUUUGUUGGUUAGUUUUCUCGGGCUAAUUUGAUGAUUUUGUGCGGUGGUUAAUGAUUUGGAGUUUUGCCUGAUUUUGUGGUUUCCUUUUAGAUUGAGGAGAGAGAAAGAGAGCGUCGGAAUUGAAAAAAGUUUUAGAAAGGGUUUCCUUUUUAUGCGGUGGGGAUGAAAUAAAAAGUUGGUUUCUACGGCGUCGUUCGAACAAGUGUGCUGUGGAAGGUUUUGUCAAUACGACGUCGCUCUGUUACGGUGGUUCAUAGUUGACCAGUUUUGAAACGUCAAUGGUUAAUUAUUGUUUAAUCAGGGAAAAUUAGGGCGGAAUUAGGGCAUUUAGGAGGAUGCUAAAGGAAAAGACUAAAAAGUCCAUGUAAUUUGGCAUGUGCAGCGUGCGUGCGCCGGAGAGUGGAAAGAUUCGCCAGAAUAUUCCCUCCAGGUGGUUACGUGCGUCAAAAAUGAAUGUUUGGGUGCCGCCGUGCAACUUUUUUUAGUUGAGGUGGGAAAGUGCAAAAACG
rnacentral:lncRNA from 1 species